ACACAUGCAGUCGUGCGAGAAAGUGUCUUCGGAUAUGAGUAGAGCGGCGGACGGGUGAGUAACGCGUAGGAAUCUACCUAGUAGAAGGGGAUAGCCCGGGGAAACUCGGAUUAAUACCGUAUACCUCCUUUGGGAGAAAGAAGGCCUCUCUUUGAAGCUUUCGCUACUAGAUGAGCCUGCGUAAGAUUAGCUUGUUGGUGAGGUAAAGGCUCACCAAGGCGACGAUCUUUAGCGGGUCUGAGAGGACGAUCCGCCACAUUGGGACUGAGACACGGCCCAGACUCCUACGGGAGGCAGCAGUGGGGAAUAUUGGACAAUGGGCGAAAGCCUGAUCCAGCCAUACCGCGUGUGUGAAGAAGGCCCUAGGGUUGUAAAGCACUUUAAGUUGGGAAGAAAAGUUAUUGGUUAAUACCCAAUGACCGUGACAUUACCUUCAGAAUAAGGACCGGCUAAUUCCGUGCCAGCAGCCGCGGUAAUACGGAAGGUCCAAGCGUUAAUCGGAAUUACUGGGCGUAAAGCGCGCGUAGGUGGUUUAUUAAGUUGGAUGUGAAAUCCCCGGGCUCAACCUGGGAACUGCAUCCAAAACUGAUUCACUAGAGUACGAUAGAGGGAGGUAGAAUCCACAGUGUAGCGGUGGAAUGCGUAGAUAUUGUGAAGAAUACCAAUGGCGAAGGCAGCCUCCUGGAUCUGUACUGACACUAAGGUGCGAAAGCGUGGGUAGCGAACAGGAUUAGAUACC
rnacentral:rRNA from 1 species